UGGGGAAUUUUGGACAAUGGGCGAAAGCCUGAUCCAGCAAUGCCGCGUGUGUGAAGAAGGCCUUCGGGUUGUAAAGCACUUUUGUCCGGAAAGAAAUCCUCUGGGUUAAUACCUCGGGGGGAUGACGGUACCGGAAGAAUAAGCACCGGGCUAACUACGUGCCAGCAGCCGCGGUAAUACGUAGGGUGCAAGCGUUAAUCGGAAUUACUGGGCGUAAAGCGUGCGCAGGCGGUUUUGUAAGACGGAUGUGAAAUCCCCGGGCUUAACCUGGGAACUGCAUUCGUGACUGCAAGGCUAGAGUAUGGCAGAGGGGGGUAGAAUUCCACGUGUGAGCAGUGAAAUGCGUAGAGAUGUGGAGGAAUACCGAUGGCGAAGGCAGCCCCGGGCCAAUACUGACGCUCAUGCACGAAAGCGUGGGGAGCAAACAGGAUUAGAUACCCUGGUAGUCCACGCCCUAAACGAUGUCAACUAGUUG
rnacentral:rRNA from 1 species